ACACAAGAUAUGUGGCAUCCCAUUUAUUUUUGAUGUGUAAGUUCCUUCACAGAGAAGGACUCUUCCUUCUCUUCUGCACCCAUAUAUCCCAAGGCACCAUCUGAUGGUGCGUGAAAUAAAGAAAUGCGUAGAGAUAAGAAGGAAAUUAAGAGGAGUGGAUGAGAAGGACUCCAUCUUAACACCUAAAAUAAACACGGCCUGCCUUUUUUAUUUGCAUGGACAAAUGGUGUGGAGAUGGAUAAAUCCAGAUGAAACACUUUCAAGUGGAUU
rnacentral:lncRNA from 1 species